rnacentral:rRNA from 1 species
GACGAACGCUGGCGGCGUGCUUAACACAUGCAAGUCGAACGGUGAAGCGCCUUCCUUUUUGGUGGGUGUGGAUGAGUGGCGAACGGGUGAGUAACACGUGAGUAACCUGCCCCCUUCUUCUGGAUAACCGCAUGAAAGUGUGGCUAAUACGGGAUAUUCUGGGUCUGUCGCAUGAUGGGUCUGGGAAAGAUAUUGUUUCGGUGGGGGAUGGGCUCGCGGCCUAUCAGCUUGUUGGUGGGGUGAUGGCCUACCAAGGCGGUGACGGGUAGCCGGCCUGAGAGGGUGGACGGUCACACUGGGACUGAGACACGGCCCAGACUCCUACGGGAGGCAGCAGUGGGGAAUAGGGCACAAUGGGCGCAAGCCUGAUGCAGCGACGCCGCGUGAGGGAUGGAGGCCUUCGGGUUGUGAACCUCUUUCGCCAGUGAAGCAGGCCUGCCUCGUUUGUGGGUGGGUUGACGGUAGCUGGAGAAGAAGCGCCGGCUAACUACGUG